UUGGGUGUAGCCAAGUCUGGUAAGGCAGUGGAUCCUGACUCCACCAUCCCGGGUUCAAAUCCUGGCACCCAAG
rnacentral:tRNA from 1 species